UUUUAAAGUAAUAAGUGAUGUUAAAAGUUUACUUAAGGUUGAUAUAGAGGUGAGUGGAGGAAGUAGUGUGUUAGGUGAGAGAGUGAGAAUCAAGGGGUUGGGAGGAGCUCCAGAUGUUGCCUUCACUGUUUUAGUGAUCAGAUCAUAACAAACUUGUUGAUAUAUAAGCCAGCUUCAUCUACCUGCUGUUAUCAGGUGUGUCUCACCAGCCACUCAGACCUCUAACCAACCAACCAGCCAACCAACACCACCAUGAAGACCCCUGCCACUCUGACCUCCACCCUGCUGGUCUUCAUCUUGGUGAUCGCCCUCGCUGGACACGGGGUGUCGUCCUCCCCCCUCCCGCAGCCCAACAACCGUCAAGGACGCCCUCUCCAAUUUGGAAUUAUCCCAGCUACAACAACUACAACUACAGUAGCACCAGCCACAGGAACAGUGACUACAACCCAACCUCCAGCUCUCACACUGUUCCAAGUGAAUAACGCUGAUGGAAGUGGCUUCAUAGUCUGUGCCCUUGGUGGAACAUGUGGCGGGAAGAAGUAGUCUGUUGUUGGUGAUCUACCUUUUGUUUUGCUGUUGUUGGUGACCUGCCUUUUGUUUUGCUGUUGUUGGUGACCUGCCUUUUGUUUUGCUGUUGUUGGUGACCUGCCUUUUGUUUUGCUGUUGUAGUAACGAUUGACUUAACGUUGUUUGCUGUUGUUCCACUGUAGUUUCGAGAUAGAUUCAUAAAAUUCAACUUGAACUCAUCAUUGAUUAGACCUCCAUAAGCCAUUGUUAAUUUACCAAACAGUAAACUAGUCAAAUGUAAAUACAAAAUAAAUAAUAAUAAAUAA